rnacentral:lncRNA from 1 species
CUCCAGCCUCUGCCAGCGCGGGUUGCCCCCCACCCUCCCGCGCUUGGCUAGGGGCCGCAGCCCCCCUGGGCUCCUAGUGCCCAGGGGGGCUCCGAUCCUCGCACGAUAGGUGCCACGAUAGGUGCCACGUGCGCGCAAAGCUAUCCUUCUGGAGCAGCAGGCGACGACCGACACGGAGGCCAGGAGCAGGCGGUGGUGGCGAGAAUCAGGCGCAUGGCGUCCUCCAGGUCCUCCAGCACUUAAUCUUAAAUUAAGACGUAUCUAGGAUGACAAGUUAAUUUAAACUACCACAGAAAGAGAAAAGAAAUGGGCGCCACUGACCAUGGAAAGCAGUACCUAUACUACUCAGGGUUGUAAUGACAUAAUACCAAGAAAUAAAGACUCUGGAAAACUGACCUUUCACCUAUGGAAGAUAUGAACACCUUGAGGGUAGGGGUACAAGGCGAAGCUUUCACCAGCUCCCUAUGGGACCUGAGCUGCGGUAGAGACCUGCCUGCUCCUUCGUCCCCACCAUCCCCAUAGCCCCUCUGCAGCGAGUUCGGAUGGCUACUGCAGAGGAGGCACCUUGUCUCGGCAUCUGCUCCGUUCCUCGGCAUCAGCUCCCUUCCUCGCACUCACUGGCUUGGAGAUCUGGUUCUGUGAUUCCCUCAAAGAAGUUUACCUCAGCAUUUGGGCUAUGCUAGGGUGGCUUGGGGGCAGCGGACUGAGCGAGCUGGUGGACUCAAACAUUCAGGCAAACUGGUUGAUUUGUAGACAAAACAUCCAGAUGCUUUUUCAUAAUUGAACUUUCAACCAAACUGACUAAAUGCUUUGGUGUCAAGACGACAAAAGCUCAAGUCAGAAAAGGGCACCAGAAUAGGAAAUGUGUAGCCGAAGAGCCCUAAGAAGAGCACAACAUGCUACAGAUUUCUAGCAAUGAAAAUAUGAGUUUUUAGGUUGUGCUUAAAUGACUCAAAAUUUACAAGAGUGAAGCGACAAAUGAAAGAGUGGGUCUUUGGGGUUAUAUUAUCCUUAUUUAUUCGGCUUUGCUGCUGCCAGGAAGCAGCUGAGAGCCCUUCUUUUCU